AAAGCAUAGGGAAGCAUUGUAAAGCACAGAGAGGUGUGGAGAGCUGUAGAGAAAGUGAGCUCUAGAAUGAGAUGAAUUACAAACACGACAGAACAUGAAAACAAGCAAUGGAACAACAUGGGAGUAAAAUGAACUGUGCCUUGUUUAACCCUUUUAUUCUCGUUCUUGAUUAAACAAGUUCUGUUGAAAGGAUUUGCCCGGUUGGUGAAGGAGGAAGACGGAGAUGAAAAUCCUGCUGCCCUCGAUUCUCAUCCUGUCUGCUGUGUUCUUGCUGCAGUUUCCACAGAUACAAUGUUUUAAGGCUGCGAUACCGAUGGACCUCGCAGAAAAUUCCCUCGAUGAUCAAUAUGUCCGUUGCGAAAGCAAAAUGUUAAAACUUGUUAAGGAAAAAUAUCUUCCGUCAGAAUUACAAAACACCCCAAAUUUUAAAAACGUCUGGGAAACAGCGAAAAAGUCAAUGGUGAAAAAAAAGAGGAUGCCAUUGAAUCUGGAACAAGCCACGGCAAUCUAUGCUUAUACUAUGGAUGUUUACAACACUUUCAAUGAAAAAGUUAGAAAUGGAGGAAAACAUUAUAAAGCUUUUCCAUUCAAGUCGUUGCAUUUUUAUUUGACAGACGCCCUGAAAACUCUGAGAUCCAAGCAGAGUAAAUGUUAUGACGUGUUUAGAGGGGUUCAAGACCCCUUUACCGCUAAUGAGGGUGCAAUUGUACGAUUUGGGCAGUUUGCUUCUACCUCUCUAGUCAAAAGGGUAGCAGAAAAUUUUGGAAACGGAACAUUGUUUGCAAUAAAAACCUGCCUCGGCGUGCCAAUUGAAGAAUACUCAGAUAAUCAAAGUGAAAAAGAGGUGCUUAUUCCACCUUUUGAAAAAUUCAAAGUGCUGAAAGUCUAUGGAAAUCAAAUCCACCUGGCACGCAUUCCUGACAAGAAGAGCAAUUCCAACUGCUUGGGAGUGCCGAAAGAAUGCUCCUG